UACGGCCACAACAUGUUGAAACACCAGUUCCUGUACGAUCACCAAUGUUAAGCAAUUUUGAGUCUGGCCAGUACCUAGAUGGGUGACCGCUUAGAAAUACCAGGUGUUGUAAG